ensembl:snoRNA SNORD42 Small nucleolar RNA SNORD42
GUGCAAAUGAUGGAAACAUUAUCGACUGAAGAAAGUGAUGCUUUCAAAGGAACCACUGAUGCAC